GCUAGCAGUUCCUGAUUGACAGCAUGUGUGUGGGAGGGAAACGGCACACAAUAUGGUCCCAAACUGCACUCUUUGUCUUUAUCCUCCUCUUCAAGGUGGAGGUGGAGUUGUCACUUCUUAUUUUGACUGAUUUCCAGUUCGCAGAACGGAGGGGAGGGAAUUAUGGGACAAUGAAGUACCUGAAAGCACUUUCCACAUAAUGCAGAGUACUAAUUACAAGUCGAUGAUGGGACCUAAUUAAGGUUUGGAUCCAGGUGCUCUGGAUGUGCUAAGUGCAUGCUUUGAGUUUUGAGUUUCAGCCACGUUCGGUUCCAAGAUGAAUUUGGGGUAAUUUUUCUCUCUCCCGGAUUUUGGCUGGAAAGGCAGACUAGCCUGGAAAGGCAGGGAAAAUGAAAGGCAGAGGAUCCAAAUCUUCCAUAAAAGCACCAGAAGAGCCUUGCUGGAUCUAGCCAAUGGCCCAUCUGGUUUGGCAUUCCAUCCUCACAGUUUUCAAGCACAAUUCCUAUGGGAGGCCUGCAAGCAGGAGCUGAGCGCAGCAGCAACUCUCCUCCCUGUGAUUCCCAGGCAGCUAGCAAUUGGGGCAUCCCACCUCCAAUGAUGGAGGUAGCACUUGUGGCAGGUGCAGCCCUCACCUCCACUACUUACCCUGCAAUCCAGAUAAGGGGUAGUUAAGAACAUAAAAAGAGCUGCAAGCAGAUGAGAGUGGAAGAGGAGCCUUAGUGUCAAGGUGCUUCCCAGCCAAAGGAAUAGCAGAUAACUAUUGUCAAACCCGCAGGGAAGCGGGUGGCGCUGUGGUGUGAACCACUGAGCCUAGGGCUUGCCGAUCGGAAGGUCGGCGGUUCGAAUCCCCGCUAUGGAGUGAGCUCCCGUUGUUCGGUCCCUGCUCCUGCCAACCUAGCAGUUCGAAAGCACCUCAAAGUGCAAGUAGAUAAAUAGGUACCUUUCUGGCGGGAAGGUAAACGGUGUUUCCAUGCACUGCUCUGGUUCGCCAGAACUGGCCACAUGACCCGGAAGCUGUCUGCGGACAAACGCCAGCAACCCCAGAGUCGUCCACGACUGGACCUAAUGGUCAGGGGUACCUUUAUCUUUAUUGUCAAACACAGCCACUUCUACAGCUCUACAUAUCUACACACACCAAUCUAACAUCUUCUUGUGGCAGCAUUGCUCUUAAGAAGUUGGUGCAAAUUUUCCUUGCUGGUUCUUUCUGCUGGUAAUUCCUGGUCAAGUCAUUUAUGCACUUGACCGCAGCAGCUACGAUAAUAGGCACCGCUAAAGGCAUGGAGUUGGGCUGCUUGAUCUCAUCUGGAUCUCCGUAGAGAUGGCACCACCAUGGGAAAUAUGUGUUUGAUGAUAAUUUAUAUGCAAUUAUACUGUAAAAUAAUGUAUUUGGCUCUUCUGAUGAUACUGGUGAGAGUCUGCCCCAAAAGGCUGCAUGGAUUAAUAGUGUGUCACACAUCACAGUCCUCAGAUCUGUAUCUCACUUUGGUUGCAUGCACACCAUAUAUUAAAAAAAUUAAAAAAUUGUCCAUUGGCACCUUAUAGACCAUGGGUAGGCAAUCUAAGGCCCAGGGGCCAGAUCCGGGCCAAUCACCUUCUAAAUCUGACCCGUGGAAGGUCUGGGAAUCAGCAUGUUUUUACAUGAGUAGAAUGUGUCCUUUUAUUUAAAAUGCAUCUCUGGGUUAUUUGUGGGGCAUAGGAAUUGGUUCAUAUAUUUUUUUCAAAAUAUAGUCCGGCCCCCCACAAGGUCUGAGGGACAGUGGACCGGCCCCCUGCUGAAAAAGUUUGCUGACCUGACCCCUGUAAUAGACCAACUAAGUUUGUUCUGGGUAUUUUUAAUUUUUUUUAUUUCGACCGCAUCAGACCAACAAGGCUACCUACCUGAACAUAUAUUUAAAGCCUGGGAUAAUCCCGGGAACUGUAGUUUACCCUUCUCAGAGCUACAUUCCCUGCACCUUUUUAAAAAACUACAGUUCCCAGUAUUCUUAUGGGAAGUCAUGUGCUUUGCACAUGCUUUAAAUAUUUGGUGUGAACACAGUGAUGCUGUCCCUAUCUCCAAAAUGAGAGAGGUUUAGGGUCAAAGCAAGAGAUGCUGACACAACUUCCAACCAUCAGUUGCUUGGAGUAGGAAGCCUUUCUGUGAAGGUUUCCUUCCAAGUACCAACAAAGACUUGCUCUUAUUUAGCUUAUGAGAGCUGACGAUCCCAUAGCCUGAGGUUUUGUGGCUGCUGUGGAGAGCUCCACACAUGCAUGGAAGGGGACAGAUUGAGGUCACGUUGAUGAUAUUAGAGCUGACUUGCAUUUCCAGAAACUCAAAGGUCAAGUACUAAUUAUCAUCAUGGGUAGUAUAUAUGUUCUUGUCAUCUUUUGAGCUUUGCAGUUGCUAGUGUAGGUUCCCAAACUUAUCCUAGGAUGUAAAUGCCCAACAUGGAAGAGCGAUCUUCCUAUCUAAUCUGCUAGGACUUUUUAUUAACUUCUGUCAACAGUGUAAGGCAGCAGCAAGAAGAGUCAAUGCUAUUCUAGGCUGCAUGAACAGAAGUCUAGUGUCUAGAUCACGGGAAGUAACAGUACCGCUCUAUUCUGCCUUGGUCAGACCACACCUGGAAUACUGUGUCCAAUUCUGGGUGCCACAAUUUAAGAAGGAUAUUGACAAGCUGAAACGUGUGCAGAGGAGGGCGACCAAGAUGACCAAGGGUCUGGAAACGAAGCCAUAUGAAUAAUAGUUGAAGGAGUUGAGUAUGUUUAGCCUGGAAAAGAGGAGAUUGAGAGGAGAUACGAUAGCCAUAAUAUCUAAAGGGCUGUCACACACAAGAUGGAGCAGGUUUUCUCCUGUUCUGGAGGAUAGGACCCAAACCAAUGGAUUCAAGUUGCAAAAAUGGAAAUUACAACAAAACGUCAGGAAGAAAUUUCUGACAGUAAGAGCUAUUCAACAGUGGAACAGACUCCCUUGGGAGGUGGUGGGCUAUCCUUCCUUGGAGGUUUUUAAGCAGAGGUUGGAUGGCCAUCUGUCAUGGCUACUUUAGUUGGGAUUCCUUCCUUGCAGGCAGUUGAACUAGAUGACCCUUGGGGUCCUUUCCAACUAUGAUUCUGGAGAUUGCCCCAUGAUCCUUCUUAUGAUGGUCCAGGUAUCUGUGAUAUUACUGGAUGUGUGAUACUGUUCUCUUUUUCCACUAGACUGCAUGGCUUCUAAAUCUUUUGCCAAGGCAAAUGGGAUGAUAAAUGUCACUCCCUAGAGAAUUUGACCAGCUUGCCCUUUUCAUUAAAUUGG